UACGUAGGCAGCGAGCGUUGUUCGGAGUUACUGGGCGUAAAGGGUGUGUAGGCGGUUGUUUAAGUUUGGUGUGAAAUCUCCCGGCUCAACUGGGAGGGUGCGCCGAAUACUGAGAGGCUAGAGUGUGGGAGAGGAAAGUGGAAUUCCUGGUGUAGCGGUGAAAUGCGUAGAUAUCAGGAGGAACACCGGUGGUGUAAACGGCUUUCUGGACCAUAACUGACGCUGAGGCACGAAAGCGUGGGUAGCAAACAGG
rnacentral:rRNA from 1 species